GGUCGCGUCCUAUCAGGUAGUCGGCGGGGUAACGGCCCACCGAGCCUACGACGGGUAGCCGGCCUGAGAGGGCGACCGGCCACAUUGGGACUGAGAUACGGCCCAGACUCCUACGGGAGGCAGCAGUGGGGAAUAUUGCACAAUGGGCGCAAGCCUGAUGCAGCGACGCCGCGUGCGGGAUGACGGCCUUCGGGUUGUAAACCGCUUUUGAUCGGGAGCAAGCCUUCGGGUGAGUGUACCUUUCGAAUAAGCACCGGCUAACUACGUGCCAGCAGCCGCGGUAAUACGUAGGGUGCAAGCGUUAUCCGGAAUUAUUGGGCGUAAAGGGCUCGUAGGCGGUUCGUCGCGUCCGGUGUGAAAGUCCAUCGCUUAACGGUGGAUCUGCGCCGGGUACGGGCGGGCUGGAGUGCGGUAGGGGAGACUGGAAUUCCCGGUGUAACGGUGGAAUGUGUAGAUAUCGGGAAGAACACCAAUGGCGAAGGCAGGUCUCUGGGCCGUUACUGACGCUGAGGAGCGAAAGCGUGGGGAGCGAACAGGAUUAGAUACCCUGGUAGUCCACGCCGUAAACGGUGGAUGCUGGAUGUGGGGCCCGUUCCACGGGUUCCGUGUCGGAGCUAACGCGUUAAGCAUCCCGCCUGGGGAGUACGGCCGCAAGGCUAAAACUCAAAGAAAUUGACGGGGGCCCGCACAAGCGGCGGAGCAUGCGGAUUAAUUCGAUGCAACGCGAAGAACCUUACCUGGGCUUGACAUGUUCCCGACAGCCGUAGAGAUAUGGCCUCCCUUCGGGGCGGGUUCACAGGUGGUGCAUGGUCGUCGUCAGCUCGUGUCGUGAGAUGUUGGGUUAAGUCCCGCAACGAGCGCAACCCUCGCCCUGUGUUGCCAGCACGUCAUGGUGGGAACUCACGG
rnacentral:rRNA from 1 species